GACGAACGCUGGCGGCGUGCUUAACACAUGCAAGUCGAGCGGUAAGGCCCUUUCGGGGGUACGACGAGCGGCGAACGGGUGAGUAACACGUGGGUGACCUGCCCUCAGCUCUGGGAUAAGCCUGGGAAACCGGGUCUAAUACCGGAUAUGACUCCAUGACGCAUGUUGUGGGGUGGAAAGCCUUGUGCGGCUGAGGAUGGGCCCGCGGCCUAUCAGCUUGUUGGUGGGGUGAUGGCCUACCAAGGCGACGACGGGUAGCCGGCCUGAGAGGGCGACCGGCCACACUGGGACUUGAGACACGGCCCAGACUCCUACGGGAGGCAGCAGUGGGGAAUCUUGCGCAAUGGGCGAAAGCCUGACGCAGCGACGCCGCGUGAGGGAUGACGGCCUCGG
rnacentral:rRNA from 1 species